CCUCACCUGGCCCCUCAGCUCUGGCCGGCACCCCGCAGUUGCUGGUCCAGCCUGCAGAGCUGGUGCAGGAAGCCUCGGUUGGGGAAGACCCAUCGGUGCUGCCUCACGGUGAUCACCGCCUGGCGCAGGGACAGCCGCUGGUGCAGCAUGAGGUAGGCCAGGACCAGCGUGGCAGAGCGGCUCACGCCCACCACACAGUGCACCAGGACCUUGGCUGAGGAAGACAU
rnacentral:lncRNA from 1 species